UACAGAGGGUGCAAGCGUUAAUCGGAAUUACUGGGCGUAAAGCGUGCGCAGACGGUUGCGUAAGUCAGAUGUGAAAGCCCCGGGCUCAACCUGGAAUUACAUUUGAGACUGCGUAGCUAGGGUGCGGAAGAGGGAAGCGGAAUUUCCGGUGUAGCGGUGAAAUGCGUAGAUAUCGGAAGGAACACCAGUGGCGAAAGCGGCUUCCUGGUCCAGCACCGACGUUCAGGCACGAAAGCGUGGGGAGCAAACAGG
rnacentral:rRNA from 1 species